rnacentral:rRNA from 1 species
GACGAACGUUGGCGGCGUGCUUAAUACAUGCAAGUCAACUGAAGCAGUGGUAGCAAUAUCGCUGUGGAGGUGGCGCACGGGUGAGUAACACGUAGGUAAUCUGCCUUCAGGUCUGGCAUAACUCCGGGAAACCGGGGCUAAUAGCAGAUGAUGCAGCGGCUCGACAUCGAGACAGUUGUUAAAGCUAUGGCGCCUGAAGAUGAGCCUGCGUCUGAUUAGCUAGUUGGCGGGGUAACGGCCCACCAAGGCAACGAUCAGUAGCUGGUCUGAGAGGAUGAUCAGCCACACUGGAACUGAGACACGGUCCAGACUCCUACGAGAGGCAGCAGUAAGGAAGAUGGCUCAAUGGGAGAAAUCCUGAAGCAGCAACGCCGCGUGAGGGACGAAGGGCUUUUGCUUGUAAACCUCUGUAGUGAGAGAAAAAAAUCCCAAUCUUUGGGACAUGAUGGUAUCUCAAAAGUAAGCCCCGGCUAACUACGUG